rnacentral:rRNA from 1 species
CCCUUCUGUGACCUACCUAUCGUUGCUUCGGCGGACUCGCCCCAGCCCGGACGCGGACUGGACCAGCGGCCCGCCGGGGACCUCAAACUCUUGUAUUCCAGCAUCUUCUGAAUACGCCGCAAGGCAAAACAAAUGAAUCAAAACUUUCAACAACGGAUCUCUUGGCUCUGGCAUCGAUGAAGAACGCAGCGAAACGCGAUAAGUAAUGUGAAUUGCAGAAUCCAGUGAAUCAUCGAAUCUUUGAACGCACAUUGCGCCCGCCAGCAUUCUGGCGGGCAUGCCUGUUCGAGCGUCAUUUCAACCCUCGACCUCCCCUUGGGGAGGUCGGCGUUGGGGACCGGCAGCACACCGCCGGCCCUGAAAUGGAGUGGCGGCCCGUCCGCGGCGACCUCUGCGCAGUAAUACAGCUCGCACCGGAACCCCGACGCGGCCACGCCGUAAAACACCCAACUUCUGAACGUUGACCUCGAAUCAGGUAGGACUACCCGCUGAACUUAAGCAUAUCAA